UCCUUACGAAUCGCAGCUUGUUCCGCAGACAACUUCUGAAGCUCCUCAGAUAGACGUUGCUGCUCACGAUACACCGAUGAAACGGAAAUAUCUUCCUCAGAAAUGUCCAUAGAAGGACGGGAAGAAGUAGCAGUAGCAGGAGGUGGAGCUGCAGGAGGGGAAGAAGCACGCUGAGACGGUGUACGAAGCUGCACCGAGGA
rnacentral:lncRNA from 1 species